rnacentral:rRNA from 1 species
UACGAAGGGGGCUAGCGUUGUUCGGAAUUACUGGGCGUAAAGGGCGUGUAGGCGGUCUAUUAAGUCAGGUGUGAAAGGCCUGGGCUCAACCCAGGAAAUGCGCCUGAGACUGGUAGACUUGAGUCCGGGAGAGGAUGGUGGAACUCCCAGUGUAGAGGUGAAAUUCGUAGAUAUUGGGAAGAACACCCGUGGCGAAGGCGGCCAUCUGGACCGGUACUGACGCUAAGGCGCGACAGCGUGGGGAGCAAAC